rnacentral:tRNA from 1 species
UUAAUAAAAGCCAAAAAGAGGCAUAUCACUGUUAAUGAUAUCAUUGAAAUAUAUCUUCUUAUUAAA